rnacentral:piRNA from 1 species
UAACACCUUACCAUAGGAUCC